UUUUGUUUUUUAUCAGAAUGCUGCUGCUGGAGUAUGUGAAUUUCCCCUUGGGAUUAAUAAAGUAUCUGUCUAUGGCAUGCAAGACACAGCCAACUUUUUCACAGUUUUAAUCUGAUGUUAAGCCAAAAGCACAUCUCAAAUCAUGGAUUCCUUUGUUAUCCAAACAUGCUUAAUCCAAUACAGUGUGGCUGGAGACUUGAGCUUAUCCGGGGAUCAUCAAGCACCAGAAAGGAACCAGCCCUGGAUGAGGCUGACCUAGGACAGUUGAAAUUUGGACGAUUCCCACCUAUUUAUCACAUGUGAACGCUGGCCCGGACACAGACA